rnacentral:rRNA from 1 species
CCGCCGGCGACCGGCGCACGGGUGAGUAACACGUAUGCAACCUGGCCGUGACAGAUGGAUAACCGGGAGAAAUCCCGCCUAAUACAACAUAAUGCCGGGAGGGGACAUCCCCUGCCGGUCAAAGGGGGCGACCCCGGUCAUGGAUGGGCAUGCGGCGCAUUAGGUAGUUGGUGGGGCAACGGCCCACCAAGCCGACGAUGCGUAGGGGUUCUGAGAGGAAGGUCCCCCACAUUGGAACCGAGACACGGUCCAAACUCCUACGGAAGGCAGCAG